ensembl:lncRNA LOC120096691 uncharacterized LOC120096691
UGGGCUCGAGCUCAGUCUGGAAGUGUACAGAGAUCCUGUUAUAAAACAACACACACUGCCACCUGCAUGACUUUAGUUUUAGCACUUUCGAGGGAGAGGCAGGUAGAUCUCCAGGUUCGAGGCCAGCCUGGCCUACAGAGCGAGUUCCAGGACAGCCAGAGCUACACAGAGAAAUCCUGCCUUGAAUCCUCCCCUCCUCAAAAUAUAACAAAACAAAGAUGGAUGGAAGUAAAACAGAACCAAUAUAGCCAUGCAAUUUAAUAAGCAGAGUUUUUCUUUUUCUUUUCUUUUUGCCGUGUUGGAAGUAACCUUGGGCCAUGCGUGCACUGGGCAAGUCCUCUGCCCCUGGGUCCCAUCCCUGGCAUGAAGCUAAAGCCCCUUUGCAGACCCGACCCUGAUUCAUUCUCCUCUUUCCUUAUAGAGGGACUGCAUCCAUCUCGUGAAAUCCAAGCCCCUGCUACCUGGGGGUUUCUGACAGGAAACUGUAGCUGACACCUGGUUCUUGCCUCAGGACCAUGGCUCCAAGGGACCAGAGAAGGAGCACCAGGAGGAAAUUGGCUCUUGUGGAUCAUGUUGCAGCUUGGAGACCAGAUCCCAACUUGACUGCUCCUCUGAGGACACCACAGUCUCAAGGCUCCCAGGAGGUCUGAUGCAUGCAGAGCAACUGACAGGAGCCCAGCAUGGCCGUACUUGGAAAGGCCCAACAAGCAGCUGGAGGAGCCAGAUGCAAAUGCUUACACCCAACCAAUGAUCCGAAGCUGGGGACCUCUGUGGUUAAAUUACGGAAAAGUUGGAAGAAGCUGAGGUGGAGGGUGGCUCCAUUGGAAGACCCCAGUCUCAACUGACCUGGAUCCUCGAGAUCUCUCAGAUACUGGGCCACCAACCAGGCAGCAUACAUCAGCUGGUAGGAGGACCCAGACACAGAUACAGCAGAGGACUGCCUUGCCUGGCCUUAGCGAGAGAAGAUGGACCGAGAGAACGGUCCAGAUACUUGAGGCCCCAGAGAAUCGGGAGGCCCGGGGGAGGCGGGGUAAGGAUGAG